UAUAUAUAUAUAACCACUUCCAUCCAGUUUUACACCUGUUGCCGUUUUGGAGCCCCUGCAGUGCACUUUACAACAUCUUCGCUUUUUGUGCUUAUUUGCUCCACAGAACGCCGGAACACAAAGUAGUGCCAUUAGUCGUAAAAGUGCUCAGUCCCAUGCCAAGUCCCCCGAUUUACUGUGUGAAGGAAACGUUUACUAGAAAAUACUCCUCUGGUUCAGUCAUCCGGCUCCUCGGCUCAGGACAGAGUGAGUGGAUUUGUGUGCGUGUAGAAUUGUCGUGUCACUCGCUGUACUUUGGCACGCGAGGACUCGGUGAGGGAGGCUGAUCACUCUAUUCAGAUGCAUCGCAUUGAAGAGGAGAAACAAAUAAAGUGGAUUUCAUUGAGGCAGUUUGCAUUCAAGACAUGAAGACAAACAAAGUUUAACCUUUCUAAUCUUUAGCUGCGUUUGCUUUGGAUCUUUUAUAACAUCAUCUUUCCUCCGUCUGUGCUCUCCUUCCAACGAUGUAUCACUUCAUUAGUCCGCUUUAUAAUAUAAAGGUGGUACUUUGUCACUUUAUUAUUCCGUCAUUGGGGUUUGAUUGGUUUUCUUACCGUGAACAAUACAGGUUCCUUAUAACGCUGAAACGCUGAUAUCCAUUCUGGUUAAAGCGCUCGUUUUUCUAAAGCCUCUUUGCUUGGAGCUGAAGAAUGGCUGCCGAUGAUGACGGCAAUUAAUGGCGUCUAAGAGGAGCCGUAAGCAAUGAUGCAGUGACUUAAUGUGCUUUCUUUUGCAGGAGCUACAGUGAGUGUGUCAGUCUGCAUGUGUGCCACAAUGGGCCAUUGUUCAGGGGGGGAAUGAAGGAUGACUUCUGCUGAGGCAACUUAUGUUCCCAUGCAGCACCUGAAUAUACAGCACGAACUUGAAGACGCACAGUCCAGUUAUGAACACGUUUGCACCCAGAAUGACACACACACACACACACACACACACACACACACACACACACACACACAGCGUGUGCACACGGACAGACAGAUACAACAGACAUGAUUUCAGGAUGAAAACUGGAUGUUGAGCAGCGUGUUUUCUUUGUUCAUUGAUGUGAAUCGUCUCAUUUUAAAACCAUCAAAAGAAAAAAGGUGUGUUCACAUCACAGACUCACUGGAUAUGAUGACUUAAAAUGUGCCUGAUAUCUAUAGCAAAAAUCCAGAAAAUCACUUUUUUUUUUGGAAAAGUAUUUUGCAGUUUAUUGCAUGACAUAAGUAUGUUGUAGUAUACGCAUAUUUACACAAUGCAUGAGUUCAGACUCAUAAAAAGCACAACCACUCUAAAAUAAGGCUCUGCAAGAGCUCUAGCACCGCGCGUGCUGCAUACACAUGAAUGCAGAGCGCUCAGAAAGAAGCCGACCACCUAUUGAUUUAUGGCUAUUUUGCAUAAGCAGCUUCUGCAACAAAGAGGCAAACACAGGGAUGACCCCCCCCCCCGGUGGCAUUAGAAGAAGGGUUCACGAGCUUGUGUGGCGCGAUGGAGACGCUCACAUGUGUGUGGAACCCCAACGCAACGUGUGGCGCCACCGCCAUUUUUGUCAAAUUCCAAUAUCAAGGAAAAUAUAUAGAUUUCUACAAAUGUAAAAUGAAAGGAAACUUUCAUUAAUUUGGAAAAGCGGUGUUGUGGCUGAUAAGGGGCGGGGGGGAGGGAGGUGGGGGGUUCCAUGUUCCAGGAGAGGGACCUCCUGAACUCCAAGUUCAGUGAAGAGGGUUUAUACUGACUGUACACAUUGUUUGUUUGAGAAUCUCACACACACACAACUUCUAUUUAUUUAAAUCAGCCACAUUUCACAACGAUGACCUGAGUGGAGCGAACUCAACGAGGUCCGUUAUAAACACGCCGUCUGGUGUCCAGGAAGUGGAGGAGAGUUUGUACACCGAGUGUCAGACGUGGCUGAUAAACAGAAGAAAGCCAUACUGUCCUUCGGUAAACAAAGGCUGCUAAACAAAUAGCAGAGUGCGUUAUUGUUACUCACAUUCGUGCUUCACACAUACACACGCAGUUUGAAAAGGCAGGAGCAGUAUUUAUUAGCAUGCCAAAUUAAAAGAUGGCACAAAGGAACAUAAAUGACUCUGCGCUCCAAUAGCUUAAUUGCUAAUCUCUUCUUUUAGGACGGUGUUUAUUUCAUUAGUCUCGUUUUAGCGCCGUCGCCAUCUCUCCCUGCUAAUUAACUUGUUUGGAUUGAACGUCUACCCCUCCGUGCCAGACAGCACGAACACCGCUGCAGGGAAAGUAAAGUGUAACAUUACUUCUUUUUCUCCAUGGACGUUCCUAUCCAGAACUUAUCUCCAUGUCUCUCAUCUCUCUGGACUACGCCAUCCGGUUCCCCGGAUCCGAUGAGACGCCAGAAGAAAGCCAGAAGAAAGCCAGUAGAAGGCCAGAAUGCGGUCAGUAGAAGGCCAAGAGAAGACAGGCCAGAAGAAGGCCAGUAGAAGGCCAGAAUGCGGUCAGUAGAAGGCCAGUAGAAGGCCAGGAGAAGGCGAGUAGAAGGUCGAUAGAAGGCCAGUAGAAGGCCAGUCGAAGGCCAGUAGAAGGCCAGUAGGUUGCCAGUCGAAGGCCAGUAGAAGGCCAGGAGGUUGCCAGUAGAAAGCCAGUAGGUGGCCAGUAGAAGGCCAGGAGGUUGCCAGUAGAAGGCCAGUAGAAGGCCAGUAGAAGGCCAGUAGGUUGCCAGUCGAAGGCCAGUAGAAGGCCAGUAGGUUGUGUAGGAUAUUAGAAACAAAUUGACGACCCGGUUCAUAAAAUUAAUAAAAAUGCAUAUAGUGUACACCAGAAUACAGCCAUGAUUCUGAAACUGUGUAAUCCAUAAAGUAAUGACAAUAUUGUAAAACCAAUGUAAAUCUGCAACUGUAAUAGAAUAAUAUCGAUGCAGUUAUGAUUGUAUUUGAUGUAAUGUAAUCAACUGGAAUGCAUGCAUGUAAUACUUGCACAACCACUGAUAUUGACUAAGGAUCAUCCGAAAUCUGAGUUACACUGAACUCACCAGAAGACCACUCCCAGGGGUGUGGACACUGACUUUCACACCUUUAAGCAUUGUUAUAAAUACCUGUAGGAACCAUUGUUCUCGAGUUCACUGGUGGAGGCGACAGACGGGCACUAGGAAUGGUCAAAAGGACUGACCUGGGGCCUGUUGGUCGCUGAGGCCAGCGGCUCCUCAGCUGAGAUGUUCUUUUUAACGCAACGCUAUCUUCUUUAUUAAAUACAUUUGAUUUUAACCUUUUGAUCAGCGAUGACCUCUGUCCGUCCGGCGUUUCUUCAUUUUUGAACACAACAGUUGCCAGUCGAAGGCCAGGAGGUUGCCAGUCGAAGGCCAGUAGGUUGCCAGCAGAAGGCCAGGAGGUGGCCAGUAGAAGGCCAGUAGAAGACCAGUAGAAGGCCAGUAGAAGGCCAGGAGGUGGCCAGCAGAAGGCCAGGAGGUGGCCAGCAGAAGGCCAGGAGGUGGCCAGUAGAAGGCCUUUCACUGGUACCCAAUUGCUCCAGUAUUUGCGAGAUGAAAGUCUGUGCUGAGAGAAGCAACAGGUGAACGGGUUUGAAGUGGAGAGAGAAGAACAGGGAGUGACAUGAAGACGUGGGACGUUCAAGGUGAUUUCUGGUCUGAACGUGGUGUAUGUAUGAAACAUGAUUUCUUCAUCUGGAUUCUCUGAGGGGGGGACGGGGGGAAGAGGGGUCACGUCGGCAGACUCAGGGGGCGAAGCCUGUUCGCUGCUUUGUGCGACUGUGCUGACCUGAUUGGCAGUGAAAUAAAAAAAGAACAAUUUCCCGAAAGGGGAAUAUAGAAAAGGGGGGGGGGGUUAUAGAAGAGAAGAGAAAGAGAGGCGGCGGCGAGCGAAAAGUAAAGACAGUGCGCGUUUUUGAUGCACGAGGUGCGAGCGGAAGCAGCGAGACGAAGAGGACGCAAACGCCAGCGAUGAGGGGGAGACCGGGUGUGAGUGGGGGAGGGGGGGGGGGGGUUCUGAACUACUGAACGCCCCUAUCUGGCUGUGUAGGCGGCCAUCUGCACGCCGGGCCCUGGACCCGUCUAAAUUCAGGACGAUUGCACGGUUUCUCAAAUCCUUCGGCGCUAAAAGCUUUUCGCAGCAGCAUCGCGGCCAACGGCAGAGCUCUUUGUCCAAUAGAACAUCUUCUACCUGGAGUUUCUUUUUCCGUGACACGUUGUCUUUCGUUGUGCGCGAUGCCGAAGGUCGGUCACAUUUCGGUUUGACAGUGGCGCUCUGAGAGCAGAAAUGGAUCCGCACCAUGCAGCAGAACCUACGGCCUCAUAGAGCUUCAAACAGAACAGCCAGCUCAUCCGAGGCGGGUUCGAGACAAGCCAAGGCUUUGGUGUUUGACCAUAAGAUCACCACAACCCCCCCCCCCCACGGCAUCAUGAUCAGGGAUACAGUUUAUUUUCUCACCAUUAAAAGAGCUUUUCACCGAAUCGAGGGGACCCGCUGGCAACCAGUGGGGCUACUGGGGUGAAAGGCGGUUUUAAAGAUACACGGCCAUAACCUGCCAAUGGCAACGGGAAUAUAGAGCUGAAGAGGAGCGCUGAACCCCGCGUGGCUUCCCAGGACGAUGUCCUGAUGUCGAGUAAGGUUCAUUCUUGUCCGCACAAUAGGUCACGGCAGAGGUUUAAACAUUGAGAGAACUGGGAAAGCUUCCAAAGGAAGGCGUUUAGAAGGCGUCCAAACCAGACGACCGAAUCACCUCCACUGACCCCUUUCACGGCGUAGGAGUAGUGGUUCUGCAAAGUUCUGCAUCCGUGAUCUUAUUUCCAAAAGUCGUAACUGUCAUCAUGGCUGGGGGACGGGUUGUACCAAUCGAGAGGUAGAUUAAGAGCUUUAACUCCCACGAGGGUCCGGUAUGAUAUCCCCUUCACUCCUGGCGCUGAACCAAUCCAAUCAAACAUCUGCCGCCAUUGUUUUCCGCACAAGGGGCGGCGGUGAAACGCGCUCAUUAUGGAUCCUCCACCUCCUCCAUUCCGCUAAUCCAUGCUUCAACUGGAGUUCUUACCUCGAGUGCAAACUGGCUAAACAUAGCGUAGCAUCUGGCGGCUCCGACCAGGUUCCAACAAUAAACCAGCUGUGCGUCAUCGACUCUCAUGGAAUCCUGUCAGAUCCUCACGUGGGUUUUGUGGACGAGGAGCCAGCCGGGAUCGAACCCCCGAAGAGGGCGGAGGGAGAUGUCGGUUUCUAAACUGCUACGUUUCUACGUCAGGAUGCAUGUUUUCUAAUUGGGCUACAAAUGUAAAAGUCACUUCUCCGCUGUGAUCUGCAGAUUCAUCUUUCAUCGCUUUAAUGUAUUUUAGCAGCUGCACCAGUUUGACUUUCUUCAUAUGCAAACUGCAGACCCAUCUGUCUCUCUUUGUUCCUGAAAGGAUAACACGUAUGCAGGGCGUGUAGUCUGCGGUAGUGGGGGGGGGGGGGGGGCCUUAUCGGAGGCUGCUACCAGGACGCGAACCUUCAAAGAGCAAAGGCAGGUUCUUGCACCG
ensembl:lncRNA